rnacentral:rRNA from 1 species
UCGAGCGGAUGAGUGGAGCUUGCUCCAUGAUUCAGCGGCGGACGGGUGAGUAAUGCCUAGGAAUCUGCCUGGUAGUGGGGGACAACGUUUCGAAAGGAACGCUAAUACCGCAUACGUCCUACGGGAGAAAGUGGGGGAUCUUCGGACCUCACGCUAUCAGAUGAGCCUAGGUCGGAUUAGCUAGUUGGUGGGGUAAAGGCUCACCAAGGCGACGAUCCGUAACUGGUCUGAGAGGAUGAUCAGUCACACUGGAACUGAGACACGGUCCAGACUCCUACGGGAGGCAGCAGUGGGGAAUAUUGGACAAUGGGCGAAAGCCUGAUCCAGCCAUGCCGCGUGUGUGAAGAAGGUCUUCGGAUUGUAAAGCACUUUAAGUUGGGAGGAAGGGCAGUAAGUUAAUACCUUGCUGUUUUGACGUUACCGACAGAAUAAGCACCGGCUAACUUCGUGCCAGCAGCCGCGGUAAUACGAAGGGUGCAAGCGUUAAUCGGAAUUACUGGGCGUAAAGCGCGCGUAGGUGGUUCGUUAAGUUGGAUGUGAAAGCCCCGGGCUCAACCUGGGAACUGCAUCCAAAACUGGCGAGCUAGAGUAUGGCAGAGGGUGGUGGAAUUUCCUGUGUAGCGGUGAAAUGCGUAGAUAUAGGAAGGAACACCAGUGGCGAAGGCGACCACCUGGGCUAAUACUGACACUGAGGUGCGAAA